rnacentral:lncRNA from 1 species
UCGUGGUUGUCUAUCUGAUCGUAAGGAUUCUUCUUGAGACUAUGAACGUCGCUUGGCUUGCAAAUGGCGUCGAAGUGGAGGUUAGGUUUCCCGGCGAGGUUCGGCUCUCCGAGACCUAGAGUGUAUGGACACUGCCUCAUCUCGCAUUCGAUGGUGUAGAGGAUUUUCUGCGCGAUGUCCUCCGAUUUCUGCCACGUCGCAAGGAGAGGAAGGAGGCUGGCCUCGCUAGUCAAGUUGACCACGGUGGUUUCAGGUGAGACCUUCCAUACCUCAGCGUAACUCCCAUCCCGACCCAAAAUGCCGUUAGAUGAACGUAAAUCAAACACCGGUGCCGUCCCACGUGUGUCUCCAUCUUCUUCGUUGUCUUCACAAAGUAUAGCAACCAGCUGAAUCUGUGAAGUAGCAAGCGACUCGAGCCUCCGCUUCCAUUCUCUCCGAUUCGCAUACGGUCUCGGG